rnacentral:lncRNA from 1 species
ACAUUUUCAUUUGGUUUUUGUAUCCAUAAAAUUGAUUUAAAUGGAGCUAAACAAAAUGAAAAACCAAUUCUCAUUUAAAGAGACAAAACAAUUUUGUUCUCAUCCUAUUUGGGCCAUCAUGCAAUAAACUCAACUUUUGGGCCAUAUUGCAAUAACAAACUUUUGGGGUCACUUUGUACAAUACACAAAAGUCACUACUUCAUGUAAAUACAACUAGAACCCAAACUUUUAAUAAUGCAAAAACUUCAUUAAAGGAUCAAAACAAUUUGUCCUUUAGCGUUUUUGGACCUAAACGUAAAAACGUAAACUUUUGGGCCAAAGUGCAAAUACACAAAAGUAUCAAAACUUUAUGUAAUUGCAUAAAAGCCCCAAAAGUACUCCCUUUGAGGGAGUGGCCGGUUUUGGGGAGGGAUAAGGUUGGUGUGUGUGUUGAUUUGUGAGUUUUGUCAAAAACAUGCAAGUGUAUGUAAGAUAAGUUUUGAAAUAAUUCAAUCACAAUUAUUUCAAUCAUCAUUUAUACAAAUAUCUAACACUUUAAAUACAUGAUAAAUCAUUUAAAAAACAUAUCACAUAAACUUUAUGAAAUAAAUCAAAACUUUGAAUCAAAACACCAAACCUUUUUGUUCUUGGCAAGAACAUCAAGAACAAUGAAGAACAUCCAUGAAAAACCCAAAUUUUUUCAAGAACUUUUUUCACCCAAAAACAUUCCAAAACCAUUCUUACUUAAGGGAAAUAACAUCUAACCAAACUAGGGUACUUAGGGGUUCCAAAGAACACAUUAAAACACUUUUAACAAGUCAAACAAGAACCCAAAAAUCCACCCUUUGGUUUUGGCCGAAUUUUCCCAAAAGCAUGGCACCAAAUUUUAGCUCCAAUAUUCAUGCUCAUAUGAACAACAUCUACAACAUUUGAGAUGGCAAAUUUUCCAACAAAAUUUACUUUCAAAGAAGCAAGAAUAAAGCUUGUAACAAUUACAACUUUUAAAUCACAAACUAUGAACUACAAAAACACAAAAGGAUUCACCAACUACUAGACCUAGGCUCUGAUACCACUUGAAGGAAAUCUUUUGGGAAACAUGUUCAUUUGAGCAACAUCAUAUAGCAUGCAAUUAACAAUUAAAGGCGGAAUCAUGCUUGCAUGCACUC